rnacentral:rRNA from 1 species
AUUGAACGCUGGCGGCAUGCCUAACACAUGCAAGUCGAACGGUAACAGGCCUUCGGGCGCUGACGAGUGGCGGACGGGUGAGUAAUACGUAGGAAUCUGCCCAGUAGCGGGGGACAACUUAGGGAAACUUAAGCUAAUACCGCAUACGCCCUACGGGGGAAAGGCAGGGGAGUCUUCGGACCUUGCACUAUUGGAUGAGCCUACGUCGGAUUAGCUUGUUGGUGGGGUAAUGGCCUACCAAGGCGACGAUCCGUAGCUGGUCUGAGAGGACGAUCAGCCACACUGGGACUGAGACACGGCCCAGACUCCUACGGGAGGCAG